rnacentral:lncRNA from 1 species
AAUUAACUGUGUUCUUACAGUUUCUUGGUGUUUGAUACAGAUACCUAUUGCGAUUAAUGGUCCUUGAGAAGACAUCUUUGUGCCAGAAGAAAUACUGUCAAGGAUUGGAAUUCUAGAAUUAAAAGGCCUAUAGAUGCUGAACUAGAAAAAUACCCAGUAAUGGAUCAAAGGAAGAUUGACAAUAUUGUCCCCAAAUCACUCAAUUCCAGUGUUGUGUGGCUCAUUAUUGCCCACAGUCUGUGAAAGAAGAUAUUGCAACCUGAUACCUUCUGAAAAGACACCAAUAAGUGUUAAUCAAACUUCUUCUAUUGAAAAAAAUGAAUUUCCUCCAUUACCAGAAGGCUUAGAAAAAAGAAGUGCCAUGUUAGAUGGGAUUGCUAUUGGAGCAGCACUUUCACCAUCUCUGAAAGCAGAAUAUAGGAUGGGAAGAACCAGAAGUCAUGGAAUGACAGAAAAAAAGUCAGAACUGAGUGAUUCUACAACAUUCAUUUACAGUUUCCCCAUGAAUUUCACUGCUGAAGACUGGGCCUUCUAUGUUUGCAGCUUUUAUCUAUUAGAUGGGUUCCUUUGAAUAUAAUCUCACAGCUGAUCUUCCAAACCACUUGGUGUUUGUACAGAAAGUGUUCAUUAAGAAGGCUAAAGAAAUAAUAUAAAAGGUUUCUGGUAAGGGUUUCUGGUAAGAUGAUCUGGCACCCUAUAGCAUAGUUGCAGGUUUCUUUUCUUAUUGGCUCUGUGAUGUUCCAUAAUUUCUACUAAAACUUGAUUGACACAAAAAUAGUACAGUUAGAUAGAACAAUCAAUCAAUAAUGAAAGUAAAUUAAAAUUCUCUACCAAAUUAUUUUUCUUAUUAUUUAUAUAGAUAGAAUACCAGUUAUUUAUUAUUUAAUUGAGAAUGGAAAAGACAGCCAACUUUCAAAAUAAGAAUCACAUAGUUAUUAUUUAAUCACAUUGUGUUAUGUUUGUUGCAUCUCAUGAUUACUCUUAAAAGACCUGCAGCAUGCUUUUGCCUGUAGAGCCAUGGGAGAAACUAAGAACUCCACUGGCCUAAUUCCAUUCAUGCUGUAAACAAAUUUUAGUAGCAGUAUUAUUUAGCAACAUUAUUUUUAAAAAUCUCCAAAAUGUAGAUGUUAUUCCAUGUAAUAUUUUCUCUCUAGAAUAUGAUAUAAUUCAUUCUUUUUUUUUCAUUUUUCUUUUAUUAUUCAUAUGUGCAUACAAGGAUUGGUUCAUUUCUCCCCACUGCCCCCACCCCCUCCCUUACCACCCACUCCGCCCCCUCCCUCUCCCCCCCCAAUACCCAGCAGAAACUAUUUUGCCCUUAUUUCUAAUUUUGUUGUAGAGAGAGUAUAAGCAAUAAUAGGAAGGAACAAGAGUUUUUGCUGGUUGAGAUAAGGAUAGCUAUACAGGGCAUUGACUCACAUUGAUUUCCUGUGCGUGGGUGUUACCUUCUAGGUUAAUUCUUUUUGAUCUAACCUUUUCUCUAGUACCUGUUCCCCUUUUCCUAUUGGCCUCAGUAAUUCAUUCUUUAUCCAUAAAAAUUAGGUAUUUAUAUAAAUUAUCUUUAUAUCUUUUUA